GUUAAUUUGUCAGGCAGCUGCAGGGGCGGGCUGAGGAGGGGCUGCCCCAGGGCACCGCCGGCCCUUAAAGAGCAGGGAGCUGUGGCGGCCGCAGCCCCGGCGCGGGGAUCGCGGGCAGCCGGCGAGGCAGCGGAGAUGGGCCCGCGGCUGUGAGCCCCCGGAGCCCCAGCACCCAUGCCCGAACAAGUAGUUGCUGUUGCUGGAGGUGUAAUAGGAGGUAUCCUUUUAUUUGUUCUCAUUGGAAUUACUGCAUACCUGCUCUGGAAGAAAUUUUGCCUCCUUUCUUCUUAUGAAGAGCUCACUAGUCCUGUCACAACACCACCUGCAAAGGCCAUUUUGCAGAAUCAGUCAUCUUCUGAAAUUCAGCCAAAAAGCACAAGAUCUAGAAGCGUUCCGUUUGUCAUUCCACCAACACUGCACGGGCGAGACUGGAUUAACUUGAUGAAUGAAGAACAGGUUCAGGAAGACAGUGAUCCCUACGUGAUUCCUCAGUCUGGGCCACGCUCAUCAUUUCAUUCUUUGGCUGGAGCUUAUGUUGUAGGGACCAUUAACCCAGAGCUGUACAAGUUUCCUGAAGACAAAAGUGAGACAGAUUUUCCUGAGGGCAGCAUUGGCCGUCUCUGGUUCUCCAUAGAGUACGAACAAGAGUCAGAAAGGCUCCUUGUCUCCUUGAUUAAAGUCAGAAAGCUGCAGCCUCCUGCUGAUUCCUGCAGUCCCUUUGUGAAAAUCUACUUGCUGCCUGAUGAAAGACGGUACUUGCAGUCCAAAACAAAACUCAAAACCCUUAACCCACAGUUUGAUGAAAACUUUGUUUUUCAGGUUUCCAGUAAAAUGUUGUUCCAAAGUACUCUGAAAUUCUUGGUUUAUCACGUUGAUAAGCAGAAAAAGCACCAUUUCCUAGGACAAGUUAUCUUUCCAUUGAAAAAUGAAACAUUAACUGAUGACAGCAAACUAGUCAUAUGGAGAGAUUUGGAGAAAGAAAACUUGGAGUCUCCUUCAGAGUAUGGUGAUAUCCAGUUCUCCCUCAGCUACAACGACUACCUGGGCCGUCUCACCAUAGUGGUUCUGAGAGCCAAGGGAUUAAAGCUCCAGGAUGAGAGCUAUGCUGCCAGUGUAUAUGUCAAAGUCUCACUAAUGAACCAUAACAAAUUCAUCAAAAGUAAAAAGACAGCAGCUGUUCUGGGAUCCCUCAAUCCAGUGUACAAUGAAACCUUCAGCUUCAAGGCAGAUCAGACAGAGCUGGAUACAGCAAGCCUGAGUCUAUCUGUGUUCCAGAAUAUCGAGGGAGACAAAACACACCUGCUGGGACGUGUAGUAGUUGGGCCUUUCAUGUACACUCGAGGCAAAGAACUAGAACACUGGAAUGAGAUGAUCAGCAAGCCCAAGGAGCUGGUUAAACGAUGGCAUGCUCUCUGCCACAGCACUUAAUUAAGCAGCAUCACUCUGAGGACAAAAAAAAAAAAAAAACAAAAAAAAAAAACAAAAAAAACAACCUUAAAAUAGAGAAGCUCUCACUGUCUUUCACAACCUAAUGAUAAACGGUGCAAAAUCUUCAACCAUUUAAUGCUCCCAACUGGACAAGAAUAACAGGAAGGUAACAUUUUUCCUUUCCCAAACACAAACAGAAGACUUGGUCCCUGGUAGGCUGGAACUCUUACCUUCCCUCUCUCCAAAAUAUUUUUCUAUUUUAAUUAGUACAUAGCAGAGCAAGCAAAGCAGGAAAACAAAUAUGAUCUCCCAGUGUUAGUUAUUUUGACUAGCAGACACGAAUAAUGCUCCAUCAUCUGGAUGGAACCCGAAAUAACCUAAGAAUUGUCAAUUAUAAGGCCUCACUGCUUAGUGCAUGGCAUCACCAUGGACAGACUGGCUUCGCCAAAAUGGAUGGAGGUCCACUAAGCAUGGAACUGCCAAAACACUGUCCAAGUCCAAGAUAUGUUGGCUGAUUGCUAAAUACUUGCAAUGUAUUUAAGAUAAUAGCAUUAUAUUUAACACCUCUUUUGAAUAUGAAUGGUGAAAAACACUGAGUGGAUAUUGUUCAAACACCUAUAAGCACCUGUUCAUGCCGCUCAGCAUAGCUUACUACUUGCAGUAAUUCAGUUAUUCUCAGCUGACUGCAACAUACAACACUUUGGUGACACUGAAGGAGAAACAGAAAAGAAGUCCUCAAGUCAGAAGCGACUCCAGGCUUGCAAGAGUAUUGGAGUACUCGUGGAAAGUGCCACUAGGUGCCUGCCCUGCCCUUAUACUUUUCCACAAAUACAUGCUUUUGACCUCUGCAGGAGACAGAGCAUAAUCCAUCUAUUCUUCCUGCUUGAGACUUGCGGUGAGAUGAAGGAGGAGGAAUGAUUACAAGACCUAUCAGUGCUUAACUACUGGUGUUUCUUUUCUUCUGAAAAAUUUUAAGCAGCUUGUUGAAACAGAAAGGGAGCAAGAAGCCUUACACGUGAUGGGUCAGAAAGCUCCUGAGGAGAAAAUUUCCAUACCAGAUGGAAGCACAGAAAGAUAAUGCAACAGCUUUUUCUGUUUGGAAGGCAAGGGGAAGAUUCUAAAGCGGCAAACACAAAGCAGCAGGACCUAGAAAUUUUAUGGAGAAUCACCAAAGCACAGACACAAACCAAGAAGGCUGUAUAAUUACUGUAAAUUGAUUGAAGUUAAUAUUGAACUAUAACAUUAUGUUUGUAAUUUGGAUUUCGAAACGGAAUACUGUCAAACAUGAGUCAGAGUAACUAUCUGAAAGAUCAAGAGAGGACGAAGCAGUCAGGUUCAAAUCAGCUGAAGACACCUAACCAGAGUAUGCAGAACUUGGCAUUUAGCCACGCAGCACUGCAGCAAUCUACUUAGGGUGACUUCCUCCUAAAGUUGUCGAAUCAUCCCAGAAAACCACAAAUUGACAGGAUGUCAAACAAUCUAGGAUUUCUCUAAUAUAACUGAUGUCUGUUUUUUCAAGAGUCUUAAACCCAAAGAGGUCCUGGAAUGGUUUAACUCAUGCAGGAUCAGCAUCCGAUACCAUAUGAUUUAAACAGAUCUGAACAUCGAUAUUGCUCUUCUUCUCAAGAUGGUUUUCCCUAGCAUUAAGGAAAACACAUUCUAGAAUGAGACAUUCCUGAGUAAAGUGUAGAUAGAAUGAGGUACAAAAGGCAUGGGUCCUUGCACUCUUACCAAGGUGAUUGAUCAGGACAUCAUCCUGAUUUUGCCAAGUCAUAUGAAAGUAAACAAGAUGAAAAACUGCUUCAAUAUUGAACUGUGAGAUAAAAUCCAACCAUUGUAACUCUUGAAUUCUGCUUAUAUAGAGCUGUGAUUUGCUAUAUUAUUGUUACCACAAUUGGUCAACAGUAGCAAAAACAAUUGUUAAUUAUUGAUUACUAGAUAAGGACAUUACAAUUGAGCCUCUUCUGUGAUGCAUGUUCUUCCUUCACCUUAGGCUUGGCACUGUGGAGAUUAUGAUUCCUUUACAGAGACUGCAGUGUUUUGCUUUAGAAGAGGUCACUGAGUUUUUUCUGGAGCUUUUGUCUUGGCAUUUGCAAUAGCCUUUGUCAGCACCUGACUUGCACACCAGUGGUGCCAGUGCUGAGUUUAGUUUUUGUUGUCACUGUGCUGUCUUUCUUGUGCUACUCUUAUGCAUCUUGGCACAGCAGGAAAUGGAUCUUGCUGGCAUAAGCUCAGCAUUCCUAUGUUCACUUCCACAGGAAGUGACAAAACAGCCAGAGAUGAUUCCAAAAGAUAGUAGUUCUGGUCUUGCUUUCAUGAGAAAUGAGUAACAUUCUAGCAGAGGUAGACAAAAAUACUGGGGAAUUAUCUUGCCACAAACAGGCAGGGCUUAAACCAGAACACCAAGUUUGCCAUGAGAGGCAGACCUCCACAAAAUGGUCUGAUCAGCAGAAUCUGACCAAAUACAUUGAUCAGUACACAAGUAGUUAAAUAAAGCAAUAACAAGAUAAGUGAUGUUGUGAGACUCCAGACAGUUUUGAAGAAAUUCAUUCUCGGCAUCUCCUGACAAUUCUCCUUCUGCCAGACUGACAAGAAACAUCAUUAUCAUCUUCCCCUUUAUUGGUACAGAAGCAAAAACAUGACUUGCACAUGGCUGUACUCAACCCCAUUAAAAAAGCCCAACAGUCCCAAAAUGGUUUCACACACAUCAGAUACCAUAGCACAUACAACAGAAUCCAAACUAACACCAGAAAACACUUUCUCAAUCGUAAGUAGCAACUUCCAGGAGACCGCACUUAAGGGCUCUCUAACCUUAGUUGUAUCGCUGUAUUACUGGCAUGCAAUUACAUUUCACAAUUUGAUUUAUCAUCAACUUCAAUUUUGAGAACAGUUCUGUUUUCAAAGCCUGGGGAUAGCAAAAACAUCCUGUAUGUGGAAACAGAUUCCUAACUGAGAACAAGGCAGGUCAAGGAUCUGCAGGGAUCUAGUCAAGGAACACAUUAAGUACUAUUUAUACUCUGCAGCAUCUACCAGCCUCAGUAUCAGAGAAAAAUAUUAAUCAUUAUCAAAAUAUAACCAUUACUCUGCAAAAACAGUUGGAUAAGUCUGUUGCUUUACUAAGUCAGAUGCGGUCAUCAUUUACUCAGUCUUUUACUGAUAAAAAUCACUAUCUGAAUAAACCAAGACUUCAAGGAUUCAAUUCAUUUCUAAAUCAGAUUAAGGCAGGACAAAGUUUUGUAGACCAGUGUUAAACCGAUAUUAAAUUGGCUUAAGGUGAUUAAGUUUUUGCCAGCUUAUCCUAGAACAAUACAUACAAAAAUUUAAUGAUUUAAGGGGUCCACAAAAGAAUGCAUCAGUUUAAUUAAAGGGGUUUUAAGCAGUUUAGCUAAAUUGGUGCAACAACUUCUAGCUAAACAAAAUUAGUUUCUCAAUGAGAUAGAGCUGUUUUACAAGAAACGACAGCAACAGCAAAAUUGCUGAGGAAAAAUGGCAAAAAUUCUGCUGCUAAAAGAAGGAAAGCAACCAUAACAGGAGAAAAAGUACAAAGAAAUAACCAAGUUAAAAAUAAGACACAGGAUAAGACGAACAGAAGAAAUGACACUACAGAAUUGUAAUCAUCUUCCUCUAAUUUGCCAUAUUCAUGAGAGUUCACAGAUUCAACACUAGAGAACUUCCACUAGAGAGAAGAGCCAAAGUGAGAUACCACCAAGAGAUUUUUAUUAAGAUAAAAACAUACGUAUAAAAAUACACUGUGUGACAAUUAAAUAGUACAGUAGAAGUGCAUACAAUUAGCAGAUAUUCCAUACCAGUCCUUUUGAUUUUUGUAUGAAUUAAAUAUGAAAUCCUUUCUUGUAUUCUGAUUUGUUCCUUGAGCUAAUUCAUUUUUCUUCUAUUUGCAAUCUGCUUGUUCAUAUGGUCUUUGUUAACCAGUUAUUGCAGAGGUCAAUGGUUCAGAGAUCAGAUCAGGAUGAAAAUUUAGCAGAUGGAAGUCCUUUUGCAAAGGAUAGCUGUUUUCAUCCAGCACAAAAUGGCUCCUAAUUUCCAACAAAUAGGAUGCUUCCGUAUCUGCUAGCAGCAAAUGACACAGUUCUGCUACUAUUAUGCGGUAAGUCAUAUCUGAGGAGGGCACUGCAAAAGAUAGAACAAUCCAAUUCACUUUAUGUUCAUAAUGGCACCUGACAUACAGGUUCUACCAUCAGAAAGGCUACACUCACUCACCAGAAAUGUAGCUCAGUGUCUGAAUAGAAAAUUAGCUUUUGUUUGUAAUCACAUUUUUUUCAAAUAAUUUGUUAAAACUGCUUCUCAUUAUACCAUAACACCUGUGAAUCACGUACACCUCCUCUCAACAAGUCAAACUUAGGAUACAGAGAAGUCCGCCUGAAACACUGCUCAGUUAUUUACUUAAAUAAAGCAUGGCAGCUAUUUCUAAAAACUGGUAAGACAUUCUAUUUUGCAUACAGGGAAUCCCACUUAGUAACUGAAUAUUUAGUUAUAUAGCGUGUAAUAAAUGUUCGUACUAUUUUACCUUUUAUUCUUAUUACCUCAACUCUGAAUUUCCAGCUUCUCCUACAUUUGUUUCACAGCAACUGAAAUGUUUUAUUAAAGGUUUAAGUCCAGAAGUUACUUUAAAGGUGAAUAUAUAUUAUAUAAAAUAUAAGCAGUCAUCAUACGUAUCCAGAAUGACAAUUUCAUCAUGAUUCUAACAUAGUCAAUAGUUAAAAAUUCAGUUUUCAUUGUGAACUUUGCGGCCCUUGAUGGUUCUACAACAAAAAAUUCAUGGAACAGUACCUACUAAUCUGUUCAGCCAGUCUGCAGGAAUAUUGAGGAAGAUUUUUUCCAUCAGCUCUGACACCACAUGAACAGAGAUUUCAUAUCCUCCAUCUUCGACUGUCAUCAAAGCAGGUCUAGAUCAGAAAGCAGAAGGCUCUUGAAAGAUCAUUUGUUGUAUUUUUCUGACUGACAGAAAGUUUCUGACAAAAGUAAUUCAGUGCAAUAAUUACCUUCCAACAUAAAACCAGUAACUAGAAAAUAUCUAUGCACUCUUCUCAACUUGUAGUCAGAAUAUGAGCUUGCUACUCCUUGAAUUCCUAAUUCAGUAUACAACAUUAAAAUAACUUCUCAAGUUACCAGUAAAAGACUUAAUUUCAGACAACUGCAGAAAACAGUGCUUUUGUGGUAUGUGCUGUUUUUCCAAGAGAAAAUGAAAACUGCACCAAACAGUAUUUUUAAAUCCUCAGAGCAUGAAUGUAAGUUAAGAUGACAUAAAGCUGAACAUGUGAUGCUUUUCCUGAAGCCCAGAGUCCAUGUCUUGAGAUUAAAGUUAUCUAAAAUAGACUGAAGGUAGUAUAGUUUCUUUUUUGCUAAAAUGAGAAAAAUAAUCCUUCCUCAUUUAAGAAAAUUUUCUCAGGUCAGGUAUUAUACAUACCAAGAAGCUGCAUUAACAGCGAGAAAGCCUUUUCUCAUCAAUCAACUUGGGAAAUACUUUACAAUCUUUUGUAUUUCAAUCCUUUGUUUUGAUAAUGUAUUCACAUCAGGCAAAAAACUACAACAUGCAAAACCCUUACUAAAUCAGCGGGAAAUUUACCUAACACUUGGCCUGAUGUCCAUAAAAAGAAAGGACAGUUGUCAUAAAAUGACAAAUACAAAUUUCUGAAGACUUUCUUAAAAGAGGGAGCAGCUUCAAUGGAGUGUGAAAUCCUAAGUUAUCCAAAGUCAGGUAUAAGCAAAAUAAGUAUGCGUGUAUCUGCACAGAGGAGUUUCCACUAUGCAUGCCAUGUGAUUUAUAAUUAAGUUACAGCAAAGGCAAAUACAUCCAAGUAGUUAAAGUUGCAGCAUUUUAGGAGUCAAGGACAUUCCACUUCCAUGUCUGCAUGGUAAUCCUUAAUAACAGAUCCAACAAAACAUUAAAUGACAAUCUUGUACACUAGUUUGUAUGAACAUUUAAGAACCAGCUUCUCCAGUAUUUAUUUGUAGUGUACAUUUAAUUGUGUCACACUGUGUCCUGCAUCAUAGUUGCUAAAUGUUAUAUAAACAUUUAUAUAUGUUUAUAGAGAGUUAUAUCAAUCUCACUGCCAUUAGCAACAUUGAUUUUUGGGAAAACCAAGAAAGUUAAUCUUGGGAGACAAUUUGUUCACAAAUACUGAGACCCCUUCAUCAUUCUAAUAAAAGCCUAUCUGAAAAUUGAAGCUUUAAGAUUACCUAUGAAGAGGCAAUUACUAACUGUAGUGUGUUCCCAGUGAAUAUCAAACAGUAAACAGAACUGAAGGCAUUACUGCAGAAUCCAUUAAAAAAGAUGAGAAACAACCAAAUAAUUAAUCUGUAGUUAUACCUGUUGCCAUCAGCAAGUACCAAUACAUACAGUGCUAACCAAGAAUGAUACUAGUUUACAUUUAUAUGCAAAUAUUACCCUGAAAUAGUACAGUUAAUUGAGUCAAAGAUAAUUUGAUCUUAAUCUUUGAGUUUCUUGAAAAAUUCUUGUUGGUAUAGUUAUUUGAAAAGGCACCUGGAAUUUUUUUGCUACAAAGCUAGUGUUAUGUCAUUUACACCUUUGAACUUAAAUACAUAAAGUAUGAAUGUAAAUAUGUAAGCAAGUAUAUGUAUAAAUUUAAAUCUACAAAUAUUCAGGGGUAUGUAAAUAAUAAAAACAGGAAAGAUAUUUGAAAUGCAAAGCAGUGAGAUAAAAGCUUAAGGGUAUCACCUGGAAUGAUGUCAUCUGUAUCAACAUCACCUAGAACUGUUUGUAGUAAUACAGCAUUUUAUAGCCACUACAUAAUAUCAAGAUAACAUCUUUUAUACUACAACAACAAAAA